AGUGAACGCUGGCGGUAGGCCUAACACAUGCAAGUCGAACGGCAGCACAGUAAGAGCUUGCUCUUACGGGUGGCGAGUGGCGGACGGGUGAGGAAUACAUCGGAAUCUACUUUUUCGUGGGGGAUAACGUAGGGAAACUUACGCUAAUACCGCAUACGACCUACGGGUGAAAGCAGGGGAUCUUCGGACCUUGCGCGAUUGAAUGAGCCGAUGUCGGAUUAGCUAGUUGGCGGGGUAAAGGCCCACCAAGGCGACGAUCCGUAGCUGGUCUGAGAGGAUGAUAAGCCACACUGGACCUGAGACACGGUCCAGACUCCUACGGGAGGCAGCAGUGGGGAAUAUUGGACAAUGGCGCAAGCCUGAUCCAGCCAUACCGCGUGGGUGAAGAAGGCCUUCGGGUUGUAAAGCCCUUUUGUUGGGAAAGAAAAGCAGCAGGUUAAUACCCCGCUGUUCUGACGGUACCCAAAGAAUAAGCACCGGCUAACUUCGUG
rnacentral:rRNA from 1 species